GUGGCAUAUGAGUCUUAUAUAGUGAAUACGUGUUUGAAACUCUGA
rnacentral:snoRNA from 1 species